UCCAACCUUAGCAAUUCCAAGCCAGGCCAUCUUGAAUAAGUGGAUCUGGUGUUGGCUCUCAGCAGGAGGCACACUUCUACUUGUGUUUAGGGGAAUUAGACACCCAUGGCCUAUUUGCUCUCAGCAAUAUUUAGCUAUUUGUCUCUCCCAGGAUUUACUGAAAAUCCCAGGGAAAGCAGGAUUUGGAAAUCGGAGCCAAAGCCUCAACUCAAAGCCAGAGCCUUCAUCCAGCACUGAUCCUGUCUGCCUUCAUCCCCUCGCUCUUUGCAACCUCUCUAGAUGUAUAGCAAGUCUGUUCUUUGGGGAGAAAGCUGCUGUGAGUGCAUGGAAAAGCCAAGAAAACAGUAAGAAAACAGCUUUUAAUGAGAAAGAAGACUUGCUAAUGAGUCUGUGUCUGGAGUACGUGUUUUAAAAGCAUCCCUGUGUGCUUUUCUUGUAAACGUGGUCAUCGUGUGUGAGCUGGGAGGAUCCUGAGAGCUCUGAAUUCAGCACUGAGGGUAGGCUGGAAAGGUCAAUGAUUUAAUGGGCUGGAACAAUUAAUCUGGCAUUUUUUUAUACACCUGUCCUCUUAAUGAUUCGACGCAUCUCCCUUCUGUGUUCCCAUCUGUCAACAAUUGAGCUGUAAUUGGUGUAAAUGCAAUUUAUCUCAGAUGGAGCUGAUUUGUUUCCUGAUAAUGGCGUUGCCAGCAUUUAGGAAGAGCACUGCCCGUGGAGAGAGUGUGCAAAGCAGUCUAUCCAUUGCACGGGCUGCGUGGAGACUCUGAGCAUUCAUUUAUCAACUCAUAGUGUGCAGAAUUUGCUUUUCUGGAGGCAACAAAGCUGGGAAGCCCUCUUUCUGCUUCUCAUGCUCAAAGUCCUUUGACUGUUCUGCUUUCAGUUGUGUUAACUCAUCAUGACCUGGAGAGAGGCAGGUGGUAACUCGUCCUGCUCUCACGUUUCCUAACAUCUGUUCAGAGGCUGGAAAUGAAAAUGUUUUCUCUAUUACUAAAGUUGAAACUUAAACCUUUCUGCAAAUUCCAGAAGAUAGGGGGGAAAAAACAACACUGCAAUGCCAGGGCUGCAACUCAGAGAGGCUGUUUUUCUCUGAAAAGCUCCCUAUUCCAAAUGCUUGAUACCAACUCAUCAUCUGAAGGAUGAGUCAUUACAAAUAGCUAUGCAGGGGAUGAGGUUUGCUGCUCAGAACUGAGCACAUGGUGCUUGUGAAAAUCAUGAUGGAAAGAAACUCCUGGUCUGAGGUUGCCUCCACAGCAAGGAGAGGUUGGAGAGGUGAGAGGUCCUGCCAACUGCCAGGGAUGGGCAUGGGAUGAGUUCUGAAGGAUUACAAUGACAGCAUAUGAGCAGGGGUUGAUUUUGGUGGUGCCAAGAGGCAAGGAUCCGCAGCAUGGAAGUGAAGUGGGAUUUGUCCAUUCUCAUCCAUUGCAGGGGAGCUGAACUAGAAGACUUCUAAAAGUCCUUUCAACGAUUCUAGGAGAUGUAGGUCAGAUAGAUCUCUGCCCCGAGGCACAAGAGCAUAGGGUUUUCCCUGUGAAAGGGCUGUAGGAUGAGUGUGGUGGUGAGAUGGUGUAGUGGAAAUGCUAAGUCACAGCUUUAAGCAGUGAUGGAGCACCUGGUGAGAAGGCAGGGCCAACCCAAGGGAGCUCAGGUGCAAGCAAUGCAAGUGAGUGAUCAGAAAGGGUAAAGCCAGGAUCCACCCCUUCCCAAACUUCAUUUAAGAGUUGGCAGCAGAGAUGAGGAUAUCUCACUGGAGAUCUCUGUAUACCUGUUGUCUUCCAAAGGGUCGUGUCCUCCACAGGAAGGUGUCACUUCUGGAUGGGGGAAUGAUGGAGUUGGGCACAACCAGCAUGGUGCAUCUUCAUUUACCAUGGGAAGGUGGCUCUCCAGCUGCACGUAACACCAGCAUACUGACUAUUUUCAUGCCAUUGACUCAACACACUGCUUCUGAGUGCUCUGAUUUUGUGACUGAUGUUGCUGUUAUGAACUGUGAGCCCUGCCUUUGUGCUCACAGAAGGAACCAGAGAGGGGCAC